AGCGAACGCUGGCGGCAGGCUUAACACAUGCAAGUCGAGCGGGCAUCCUUGUGGUGUCAGCGGCAGACGGGUGAGUAACGCGUGGGAACGUGCCCUUCGGUUCGGAAUAACUCAGGGAAACUUGAGCUAAUACCGGAUACGCCCUUUUGGGGAAAGGUUUACUGCCGAAGGAUCGGCCCGCGUCUGAUUAGCUAGUUGGUGAGGUUACGGCUCACCAAGGCGACGAUCAGUAGCUGGUCUGAGAGGAUGAUCAGCCACACUGGGACUGAGACACGGCCCAGACUCCUAUGGGAGGCAGCAGUGGGGAAUAUUGGACAAUGGGGGCAACCCUGAUCCAGCCAUGCCGCGUGAGUGAUAACAGCCUUAGGGUUGUAAAGCUCUUUUCUCCGGGACGAUAAUGACGGUACCGGAGGAAUAAGCCCCGGCUAACUUCGUG
rnacentral:rRNA from 1 species